AGUGAACGCUGGCGGUAGGUCUAACACAUGCAAGUCGAACGGCAGCACAGUAAGAGCUUGCUCUUACGGGUGGCGAGUGGCGGACGGGUGAGGAAUACAUCGGAAUCUACUUUUUCGUGGGGGAUCACGUAGGGAAACUUACUCUAAUACCGCAUACGACCUACGGGUGAAAGCAUGGGAUCUUCUGACCUUGCGCGAUUGAAUGAGCCGAUGUCGGAUUAGAUAGUUGGCGGGGUAAAGGCCCACCAAGUCGGCGAUCCGCAGCUGGUCUGAGAGGAUGAUCAGCCACCCUAGAACUGAGACACGGUCCAGGCUCCUACGGGAGGCAGCAGUGGGGAAUAUUGGACAAUGGGCGCAAGCCUGAUCCAGCCAUACCGAGUGGGUGAAGAAGGCCUUCGGGUUGUAAAGCCCUUUUGUUGGGAAAGAAAAGCAGCAGGUUAAUACGCCGCUGUUCUGACGGUACCCAAAGAAUAAGCACCGGCUAACUUCGUG
rnacentral:rRNA from 1 species